CCUACGGGGUGCAGCAGUGGGGAAUAUUGGGCAAUGGGCGCAAGCCUGACCCAGCAAAGCCGCGUGAAGGAAGAAGGCCCUCGGGUUGUAAACUUCUUUUGUCAGGGACGAAGAAAGUGACGGUACCUGACGAAUAAGCCACGGCUAACUAAGGGCCAGCAGCAGCGGGAAUACGUAGGUGGCAAGCGUUAUCCGGAUUUACUGGGGGUAAAGGGCGUGUAGGCGGGAAUGCAAGUCAGAUGUGAAAUUCCAGGGCUCAACCCUGGAACUGCAUUUGAACCUGUAGUUCUUGAGUGAUGGAGAGGCAGGCGGAAUGCCGUGUGUAGCGGUGAAAUGCGUAGAUAGACGGAGGAACACCAGUGGCGAAGGCGGCCUGCUGGACAUUAACUGACGCUGAGGCGCGAAAGCGUGGGGAGCAAACAGGAUUAGAUACCCUUGUAGUC
rnacentral:rRNA from 1 species